GUGUCAGCCGCCGCGGUAAUACGGAGGAUGCAAGCGUUAUCCGGAUUCAUUGGGUUUAAAGGGUGCGCAGGCGGAUUGUUAAGUCAGGGGUGAAAUCCUACAGCUCAACUGUAGAACUGCCCUUGAUACUGUCAGUCUAGAGUAUAGUUGAAGUGGGCGGAAUGUGUCAUGUAGCGGUGAAAUGCUUAGAUAUGACACAGAACACCGAUCGCGAAGGCAGCUCGCUAAGCUAUAACUGACGCUCAUGCACGAAAGCGUGGGGAUCAAACAGGAUUAGAUACCCUCGUAGUCC
rnacentral:rRNA from 1 species